AUAGGGGAGCCGGAGGGAAACCGAGUCUUAAUUGGGCGUUAAGUUGCAGGGUAUAGACCCGAAACCCGGUGAUCUAGCCAUGGGCAGGUUGAAGGUUGGGUAACACUAACUGGAGGACCGAACCGACUAAUGUUGAAAAAUUAGCGGAUGACCUGUGGCUGGGGGUGAAAGGCCAAUCAAACCGGGAGAUAGCUGGUUCUCCCCGAAAGCUAUUUAGGUAGCGCCUCGUGAACUCAUCUCCGGGGGUAGAGCACUGUUUCGGCUAGGGGGCCAUCCCGGCUUACCAACCCGAUGCAAACUGCGAAUACCGGAGAAUGUUAUCACGGGAGACACACGGCGGGUGCUAACGUCCGUCGUGAAGAGGGAAACAACCCAGACCGCCAGCUAAGGUCCCAAAGUCAUGGUUAAGUGGGAAACGAUGUGGGAAGGCCCAGACAGCCAGGAUGUUGGCUUAGAAGCAGCCAUCAUUUAAAGAAAGCGUAAUAGCUCACUGGUCGAGUCGGCCUGCGCGGAAGAUGUAACGGGGCUAAACCAU
rnacentral:rRNA from 1 species